AACGAACGCUGGCGGCAUGCCUAACACAUGCAAGUCGAACGAGACCUUCGGGUCUAGUGGCGCACGGGUGCGUAACGCGUGGGAACCUGCCCUUAGGUUCGGAAUAACUCCCCGAAAGGGGUGCUAAUACCGGAUAAUGUCUUCGGACCAAAGAUUUAUCGCCUUUGGAUGGGCCCGCGUUGGAUUAGCUAGUUGGUAGGGUAAAAGCCUACCAAGGCGACGAUCCAUAGCUGGUCUGAGAGGAUGAUCAGCCACACUGGGACUGAGACACGGCCCAGACUCCUACGGGAGGCAGCAGUGGGGAAUAUUGGACAGUGGACGAAAGCCUGAUCCAGAAAUGCCGGGUGAGUGAUGAAGGCCUUAGGGUUGUAAAGCUCUUUUACCCGGGAUGAUAAUGACAGUACCGGGGGAAUAGGCUCCGGCUAACUCCGUG
rnacentral:rRNA from 1 species